rnacentral:rRNA from 1 species
AUUGAACGCUAGCGGCAGGCCUAACACAUGCAAGUCGAGCGGAGCGGCGUACGGGUGAGGAAUGCCUAGGAAUCUGCUUGGUAGUGGGGGAUAACGUCCGGACACGGGCGCUAAUACCGCAUACUAUCAGAUGAGCCUAGGUCGGAUUAGCUAGUGGGUGGGGUAAAGGCCUACCAAGGCGACGAUCCGUAACUGGUCUGUGAGGAUGAUCAGUCACACUGGAACUGAGACACGGUCCAGACACCUACAGGAGGCAGCAGUGGGGAAUAUUGGACAAUAGGCUAAAACCUGAUCCGGCCAUGCCGCGUGUGUGAAGAAGGUCUUCGGAUUGUAAAGCCCUUUAAGUUGGGAAGCGUUACCAACAGAAUAAGCACCGGCUAACUUCGUGCCAGCAACCGCGGUAAUUC